rnacentral:lncRNA from 1 species
ACCAUCUUUCUUCACUCUCUCUGGUCUCUACCAUCCAAAACAACCUCUAGUGCCACCUGCGGACCACCACCACCACACACCCUAAUCCGACCACUUCACUUGAAAACAAAUGGCUGAUGUGCCACCAGACCUCUGGCACCUCCACUCGCCGGACCACCGACAUCGAUUCCUAUAGCGACGUCGAAGAUAUAGGAUUCAGAAGAUGUCGGAUCGUUGUCACCGGAUAGAUCUGAGCCGAAACGGCUUAAUGUGAUCUGAAAACAGGUUCCGUCAGUGACGACCGUUCUCCAGCUCUCUGUUCACUCAUUUUCGAUUAGGGGUAUGUGAAUCUAUGAUUGAAGUUAAAUCUGAGUGACACAAACCCUUUAGACUGGUGCUACGGAGAUCGUGUUUGUUGAAUUGCCUGAAUGAGUUUUCAUUUCUUUACCUGAAGUGGUGCAAGUGAUAGUUUAAUUAGCUUGACUGGCUUUUUCCUCUUGUUUAAGUUGUGACCCUUGGACUCUAAACCUCAAAUUCUAAAGCACCCGUAUCUAUUUAUUAUGGAAGUGAUUGAUGAGGCUCUGUCGACAUGGUGGUUGGUUUGGCCAGAAAAAAAUGGAGGUUUUUUGUGUUAUAUGACCGCCCGUCAUGGGCGUGAUUUAUAAAAAAAAUUCGAAAAAAACGCCCGAAAACGCUGAGAAGCUGCUACACCCCGGCGUGUUUCGGCGUGAUUUUGGGCAAAUUUGGUUUUGGAGUUCUUUGAAUCACGCUAUUUGGGCAAUUUGUUGACCAAUCAGAUAAGACCAUGUGGUUUAGAGAGAUGGAGAUGGAAUUUUUGGGUUGGGUUUGCCGGAAUUUUUGGGUUGGGUCCGCCGGAGAUGUUGCAGGUCGCACCAGAGAAGAAGAGAAGGGAUGGAGGCUGGUUGUUUGAUUUAAAACUUUGGUCACAUGUCACAUUAGGCCCCUGUGGUUUGAUUUAAAACUUUGGUUACAUUUCAAGUUUCAAAAAAUGCUAUAUCAGUCCCUAAAGUUUUGUUUAUUAAUUGUCUCAUUUGGAUCUUUAUAAAACUUAAAAUUUUGCAAUGUAAUUUUUUAGUAUUGUAAUUUUUUUAAUUUAAUGAAGUAUUUUAAGUUUUUAAUUUAAAAAAAAAUAAAUAAUUGUAUAAUGAUUGGAUGGGGCGUUAUUGGGCAUUAUUCCAUUACGCCACUUUUGCAAAAACGCCCAAUAAUCCCCCCAUGCUGACUGGACUGCCACAUGGCAGAAAAUGCCACAGGGUGGGGGCAUUAUUCAUCAAACCACUACGCAUGGUCUAAGGAUUAGUGGGGAAAUUGAUCUGAUUGUGAUGAUUUUUGAACGUGGUUGUAAGUUUUUUUAG